CAUUAUUGAAUAAGCUUGGUUGGGUUGUAGCUGGCCUUCCAGGGCAUGUGCACACCUAACACCAACUUUUUACCACCUGUGCACCUUUUGUAGACANGGAUACCUCUCGAGGAAACUCGGUUUGAGGACUGUUGUGCGCGAGCCAGCUUUCCUUACACUUCCNGUCUAUUUUGUAGACAUGGAUACCUCUCGAGGAAACUCGGUUUGAGGACUGUUGUGCGCGAGCCAGCUUUCCUUACACUUCCUGUCUAUGUUUUAUAUAUGCCCCUAUUUGUAUGUCUAUAGAAUGUUAUUAAUAGGCUUCAGAUGCCUUUAAAAAUCUAUACAACUUUCAACAACGGAUCUCUUGGCUCUCGCAUCGAUGAAGAACGCAGCGAAAUGCGAUAAGUAAUGUGAAUUGCAGAAUUCAGUGAAUCAUCGAAUCUUUGAACGCACCUUGCGCUCCUUGGUAUUCCGAGGAGCAUGCCUGUUUGAGUGUCAUAAAAUUAUCAACCCUAUUCAGCUUUAUUGUUGAACUGGGCUUGGAUUUUGGGGGUUUGCGGGCUUCAAAAGUCAGCUCUCCUUAAAUGCAUUAGCGGGAUCUUUGUUACCUAGCUUUGGUGUGAUAAUUAUCUAUGCCGUUGCUUAAAGUAACUUGAAAUAGGAUCAUGCUUCAAAUUGUCUCUUGUUAGAGAACUAUUUAUUAUUUUGACCU
rnacentral:rRNA from 1 species